rnacentral:rRNA from 1 species
AUUGAACGCUGGCGGCAUGCUUUACACAUGCAAGUCGAACGGUAACAGGCCUUCGGGUGCUGACGAGUGGCGAACGGGUGAGUAAUGCAUCGGAACGUACCCAGAGGUGGGGGAUAACGCAGCGAAAGCUGUGCUAAUACCGCAUGUGAUCUGAGGAUGAAAGCGGGGGACCGAGCAGCAAUGUUUGGCCUCGCGCCUUUGGAGCGGCCGAUGUCGGAUUAGCUAGUUGGUGGGGUAAAGGCCUACCAAGGCGACGAUCCGUAGCUGGUCUGAGAGGACGACCAGCCACACUGGGACUGAGACACGGCCCAGAUUCCUACGGGAGGCAGCAGUGGGGAAUUUUGGACAAUGGGCGCAAGCCUGAUCCAGCAAUGCCGCGUGCGGGAAGAAGGCCUUCGGGUUGUAAACCGCUUUUGGCAGGAACGAAACGGUGUCCGCUAAUACCGGGCGCUAAUGACGGUACCUGCAGAAUAAGCACCGGCUAACUACGUG